rnacentral:rRNA from 1 species
AGUGAACGCUGGCGGUAGGCCUAACACAUGCAAGUCGAACGGCAGCACAGUAAGAGCUUGCUCUUACGGGUGGCGAGUGGCGGACGGGUGAGGAAUACAUCGGAAUCUACUUUUUCGUGGGGGAUAGCGUAGGGAAACUUACGCUAAUACCGCAUACGACCUACGGGUGAAAGCAGGGGAUCUUCGGACCUUGCACGAUUGAAUGAGCCGAUGUCGGAUUAGCUAGUUGGCGGGGUAAAGGCCCACCAAGGCGACGAUCCGUAGCUGGUCUGAGAGGAUGAUCAGCCACACUGGAACUGAGACACGGUCCAGACUCCUACGGGAGGCAGCAGUGGGGAAUAUUGGACAAUGGGCGCAAGCCUGAUCCAGCCAUACCGCGUGGGUGAAGAAGGCCUUCGGGUUGUAAAGCCCUUUUGUUGGGAAAGAAAAGCAGCAGGUUAAUACCCCGCUGUUCUGACGGUACCCAAAGAAUAAGCACCGGCUAACUUCGUG